GGCAGUGGCAGACGGGUGAGUAACGCGUGGGAAUCUACCUAGUUCUGCGGAACAACAGUUGGAAACGACUGCUAAUACCGCAUACGCCCUACGGGGGAAAGAUUUAUCGGAAUUAGAUGAGCCCGCGUAAGAUUAGCUAGUUGGUGGGGUAAUGGCCUACCAAGGCGACGAUCUUUAGCUGGUCUGAGAGGAUGAUCAGCCACACUGGGACUGAGACACGGCCCAGACUCCUACGGGAGGCAGCAGUGGGGAAUAUUGGACAAUGGGCGCAAGCCUGAUCCAGCCAUGCCGCGUGAGUGAUGAAGGCCUUAGGGUUGUAAAGCUCUUUCAGUGGGGAAGAUAAUGACGGUACCCACAGAAGAAGCCCCGGCUAACUUCGUGCCAGCAGCCGCGGUAAUACGAAGGGGGCUAGCGUUGUUCGGAUUUACUGGGCGUAAAGCGCACGUAGGCGGAUUGGUCAGUUAGGGGUGAAAUCCUGGAGCUCAACUCCAGAACUGCCUUUAAUACUGCCAGUCUCGAGUCCGGAAGAGGUAAGUGGAACUCCUAGUGUAGAGGUGGAAUUCGUAGAUAUUAGGAAGAACACCAGUGGCGAAGGCGGCUUACUGGUCCGGUACUGACGCUGAGGUGC
rnacentral:rRNA from 1 species